rnacentral:rRNA from 1 species
UCUCCGUGUAAAUUUUACAUGGCGAAUUGUAGUCUAUAGAGGCGUGGUCAGCAUGGGCACUCGGGGUAAGUUCCUUGGAAGAGGACAGCAUGGAGGGUGAUACUCCCGUUCAUCUCUGAGUCGCUCGUGCGUACGAUCCGUUUUCUUUGAGUCGCGUUGUUUGAGAAUGCAGCGCAAAGUAGGUGGUAAAUUCCAUCUAAAGCUAAAUAUUGGUGCGAGACCGAUAGCAAACAAGUACCGUGAGGGAAAGAUGAAAAGAACUUUGAAAAGAGAGUUAAAGAGUACCUGAAACUGCUGAAAGGGAACCGAAUCGUUUCCAGUGUCUAUAAUCUGUGGUAUAUUUCAUUGGCGAGUGUGUGCGUGCGUGUACUAUGGCAGUGGCUUUUUGCUGCGCUUGGUGCGUGUGUUGUGUGUGCUUGCUGGUGCCCUGUACUGCGGUGGGACGUCAAGGU